AAGUCGUAACAAGGUUUCCGUAGGUGAACCUGCGGAAGGAUCAUUAACACGUAUCCAACGUUAAACCCCCCGUGCACAGAGACCAGCUCCCCUCAAUUUCGGUCUUUUGGCAAUCUCUGGUAAAUCAUCGCCGAACAGUUUUGAUUCAGAGACAUCCAAAGGGCCGGGGUAGGGUAUUAAAGUAGUUGUCCCAUGCAAGCAGCCUGGUUUCUUGGAAGCAGAAAGUGUGAGUGGUAGUUCGAAGAUGACUUCUGUCGCGCAAAAGAAGACGCUUUACGAAUCACUGACCAACACGGUUAGUGACCGGGUUCCUGGGUCCUAGACCCCCUGAUCACCCCGACAGUCGCAGACGCGGGUAGGGAUACGUCCUUACCAAAAAAUAAAUACUUGAACAACUGUUAACAAUGGAUAUCUUGGUUCUC
rnacentral:misc_RNA from 1 species